UACAGAGGUGCUCAAGCGUUUGUUCGGAUUCAUUGGGGCGUAAAGGGUGCGUAGGUGGCGCUGUAAGUCGGGUGUGAAAUUUCGGAGCUUAACUCCGAAACUGCAUUCGAUACUGCGGUGCUUGAGGACUGGAGAGGAGACUGGAAUUCAUGGUGUAGCAGUGAAAUGCGUAGAGAUCAUGAGGAAGACCAGUGGCGAAGGCGGGUCUCUGGACA
rnacentral:rRNA from 1 species